CCAUAAAGUUUGAUCAUGGCUCAGUAAGUCGUAACCAGGUAGCCAUAGAGUUUGAUCCUGGCUCAGUAAGUCGUACCAAGGUAGCCUUUUGAGUUUGGAAUCUGCUCAGGACGAACGCUGGCGGCGUGCCUAAUACAUGCAAGUCGAACGAACUCUGGUAUUGAUUGGUGCUUGCAUCAUGAUUUACAUUUGAGUGAGUGGCGAACUGGUGAGUAACACGUGGGAAACCUGCCCAGAAGCGGGGGAUAACACCUGGAAACAGAUGCUAAUACCGCAUAACAACUUGGACCGCAUGGUCCGAGUUUGAAAGAUGGCUUCGGCUAUCACUUUUGGAUGGUCCCGCGGCGUAUUAGCUAGAUGGUGAGGUAACGGCUCACCAUGGCAAUGAUACGUAGCCGACCUGAGAGGGUAAUCGGCCACAUUGGGACUGAGACACGGCCCAAACUCCUACGGGAGGCAGCAGUAGGGAAUCUUCCACAAUGGACGAAAGUCUGAUGGAGCAACGCCGCGUGAGUGAAGAAGGGUUUCGGCUCGUAAAACUCUGUUGUUAAAGAAGAACAUAUCUGAGAGUAACUGUUCAGGUAUUGACGGUAUUUAACCAGAAAGCCACGGCUAACUACGUGCCAGCAGCCGCGGUAAUACGUAGGUGGCAAGCGUUGUCCGGAUUUAUUGGGCGUAAAGCGAGCGCAGGCGGUUUUUUAAGUCUGAUGUGAAAGCCUUCGGCUCAACCGAAGAAGUGCAUCGGAAACUGGGAAACUUGAGUGCAGAAGAGGACAGUGGAACUCCAUGUGUAGCGGUGAAAUGCGUAGAUAUAUGGAAGAACACCAGUGGCGAAGGCGGCUGUCUGGUCUGUAACUGACGCUGAGGCUCGAAAGUAUGGGUAGCAAACAGGAUUAGAUACCCUGGUAGUCCAUACCGUAAACGAUGAAUGCUAAGUGUUGGAGGGUUUCCGCCCUUCAGUGCUGCAGCUAACGCAUUAAGCAUUCCGCCUGGGGAGUACGGCCGCAAGGCUGAAACUCAAAGGAAUUGACGGGGGCCCGCACAAGCGGUGGAGCAUGUGGUUUAAUUCGAAGCUACGCGAAGAACCUUACCAGGUCUUGACAUACUAUGCAAAUCUAAGAGAUUAGACGUUCCCUUCGGGGACAUGGAUACAGGUGGUGCAUGGUUGUCGUCAGCUCGUGUCGUGAGAUGUUGGGUUAAGUCCCGCAACGAGCGCAACCCUUAUUAUCAGUUGCCAGCAUUAAGUUGGGCACUCUGGUGAGACUGCCGGUGACAAACCGGAGGAAGGUGGGGAUGACGUCAAAUCAUCAUGCCCCUUAUGACCUGGGCUACACACGUGCUACAAUGGAUGGUACAACGAGUUGCGAACUCGCGAGAGUAAGCUAAUCUCUUAAAGCCAUUCUCAGUUCGGAUUGUAGGCUGCAACUCGCCUACAUGAAGUCGGAAUCGCUAGUAAUCGCGGAUCAGCAUGCCGCGGUGAAUACGUUCCCGGGCCUUGUACACACCGCCCGUCACACCAUGAGAGUUUGUAACACCCAAAGUCGGUGGGGUAACCUUUUAGGAACCAGCCGCCUAAGGUGGGACAGAUGAUUAGGGUGAA
rnacentral:rRNA from 1 species